CCUACGGGUGGCAGCAGUGGGGAAUAUUGCACAAUGGGGGAAACUCUGAUGCAGCGACGCCGCGUGAGUGAAGAAGUAACUCGUUAUGUAAAGCUCUAUCAGCAGGGAAGAAAAUGACGGUACCCGAGUAAGAAGCCCCGGCUAACUACGUGCCAGCAGCCGCGGGAAUACGUAGGGGGCAAGCGUUAUCCGGAUUUACUGGGUGUAAAGGGAGCGUAGACGGCAGUGCAAGUCUGGAGUGAAAGGCGGGGGCUCAACCCCCGGACUGCUCAGGAAACUGUACGGCUGGAGUGCAGGAGAGGUAAGUGGAAUUGCUAGUGUAGCGGUGAAAUGCGUAGAGAUUAGACAGAACACCAAUGGCGAAGGCAGCUUACUGGACUGUAACUGACGUUGAGGCUCGAAAGCGCGGGGAGCAAACAGGAUUAGAUACCCGGGUAGUC
rnacentral:rRNA from 1 species